GACGUGGAUAGUUUUGAUCGUAUUCUUAGCACUCCUUGCUAAUACCGCCAUGCUGUAAAACGAGAUGCUUACUCGCUGCUUGCAUGACGGUCAAAAAAUAACCUAAUUUUGAUUUAUUCGGGCUUACUUCCACCAAAACUUACGAUUACACAUAUUAUGUAAAACUGAGUAAAAUGCAAGCAAACUGUUUAUUGACUUCCUUCGAGCACGUGCAAUCGUUAAAUAUAUAAUAAGUUAUCAACCAAUCUAUAGUUUCACAUUGUUUUAAGUGAACAUGAAAGGGGUUAGCUUUCAAUUGUACUUUAGGCAUACCUAACGUAGUUUUAAAUAUUCUGUGUGGGAGAAAACUUUUUUCUCAGUUUUUCACAUUUUGUAAAAGCAAAAUACAAAAAGUCUUGCCGUCAAUCAAGGGUAUCGGUCGUUCAUAUCUAUAGAUCAAAAACCAUUUUUUGAAUUAAAUGUCAUGCGUCAUGUUCUGUCAGAACAAAAUCCGAUAAUAAUAACUAGCAAUGAAAAGCAGCAAUAAUUGAUUGGCCACACAAGCUCCAUGCAGCAAUAAAAGGGGCUGCUUCUUAUAGUAAAAGCCAAACAAUGAAGUGGAUACUCUGGAUCACAUUUGUAGCACUAGCUGCGGAAAGAAGUGUGCCAGCAUGUUGUAAAAAUGGUUGCCUUUUACUUGAAUGUGUAGAUGUUACAAAUUAAAAUUGUAAAUAUUUUUAUUUGGAUUUAGUUGCAUACUGAAUUACUGAAUAAAUGCAAUAGAAAGAAAUUUUGAGCAAAUUGCAAAGAAUUUGUUAACUUAGAACAUAUGCAACCAUUAACAAUUUGUAAAACAUGUAUUAGCAAGCGGCCGAGUCCAAUGUACAAUUUCUUUAUGAUGCUCAAAUGAUUUUGAAAGCUUUUACCUCUCA